rnacentral:rRNA from 1 species
AGGUGGUGGCAUGGUUGUCGUCAGCUCGUGUCGUGAGAUGUUGGUUAAGUCCCGCAACGAGCGCAACCCCUAUUGUUAGUUGCCAUCAUUCAGUUUGGGCACUCUAGCGAGACUGCCGGUAAUAAACCGGAGGAAGGUGGGGAUGACGUCAAAUCAUCAUGCCCCUUAUGACCUGGGCUACACACGUGCUACAAUGGUUGGUACAACGAGUUGCGAGUCGGUGACGGCGAGCUAAUCUCUUAAAGCCAAUCUCAGUUCGGAUUGUAGGCUGCAACUCGCCUACAUGAAGUCGGAAUCGCUAGUAAUCGCGGAUCAGCACGCCGCGGUGAAUACGUUCCCGGGCCUU